rnacentral:lncRNA from 1 species
AAGCCCUAAAUAGUUAAAAGCAAUAUUACAUCGUCAAUUUCAUUCAUUCAUACUUCCCAAUGCAAGGUGUUACAUAAAAGAGAGGAGAAAGACACAACUAAUCUCUAAGAGAGAAGACUUUUCCCUAUUUGAGAAUUUGGUACGACCUCACUUGCUCCCUUGAAAUAAACAAAGGAGAUUAAAAAUGCUCUACCUGAUGCAAAACAUUUUCAAAUGACUAUGAGACGACUACAAGACUAGAAA